rnacentral:rRNA from 1 species
CAGAGGUGGCAAGCGUUGUUCGGAAUUACUGGGCGUAAAGGGCGCGUAGGCGGCUUUCUAAGUCAGACGUGAAAUCCCCCGGCUUAACCUGGGAACUGCGUCUGAUACUGGGAGGCUUGAAUGCGGGAGAGGGAUGUAGAAUUCCAGGUGUAGCGGUGAAAUGCGUAGAUAUCUGGAGGAAUACCGGUGGCGAAGGCGGCAUCCUGGACCGACAUUGACGCUGAGGCGCGAAAGCUAGGGUAGCAAACGGGAUUAGAUACCCCGGUAGUCCUAGCCCUAAACGAUGAGUGCUUGGUGUGGCGGGUAUCGAUCCCUGCCGUGCCGAAGCUAACGCAUUAAGCACUCCGCCUGGGGAGUACGGUCGCAAGGCUGG